rnacentral:rRNA from 1 species
AUUGAACGCUGGCGGCAGGCCUAACACAUGCAAGUCGAACGAGUGGCGGACGGGUGAGUAAUGUCUGGGAAACUGCCCGAGGGAGGGGGAUAACUACUGGAAACGGUAGCUAAUACCGCAUACCCUCGGAUGUGCCCAGAUGGGAUUAGCGAGUAGGUGGGGUAAAGGCUCACCUAGGCGACGAUCCCUAGCGGGUCUGAGAGGAGGACCAGCAACACUGGAACGGAGACACGGUCCAGACUCCUACGUGAGGCAGCAGUGGGGAAUAUUGCACAUUGGGCGCAAGCCUGAUGCAGCCAUGCCGCGUGUAUGAAGAAGGCCUUCGGGUUGUAAAGUACUUUCAGCGAGGAGGCGUUACUCGCAGAAGAAGCACCGGCUAACUCCGUGCCAGCCGCCGCGGUAAUUC